rnacentral:tRNA from 1 species
GACCGCGUAGCUCAGUUGGCAGGGCAUUGGGCUAGCAUUCCAAAGGUCGUAGGUUCGAUUCCCACCGUGGACA